GAAGGGAACAGAAAAGAAAAAUGUAAAAGGAAAAGCACUAUUAGUGGUUUAUCAAGUGGCAAUUUGAACUUGGAAGGAAUUUGUGUAAUGGCUCCUUGAUCUGUAGCUCUAAAGUGUCUUUGUAUUUGGGACAUCUAUUAUACUAUUUAUUCAUACAUCUUUUCCUUUUCAUUUUUUGUGGACCUAUGUUCAUUGUAUUCUCCCGUCCUUCUGUACUUCUUAUCCCCAGGUUUACAUGACAAACGCCUGCUCAUGCUGCUUCACUUUCGGGGAUACACUGCAGCUUGACGGGUGGCAGUUAUUUGUUUAAAUAUAUGGUUCUUGUGGCUUGGGGUUUUUGUAACUGAA